rnacentral:lncRNA from 1 species
UUCAAGAUUCAAGCCUGGAUCCCUUUAAUCUUUCCGAACUUUCUAACAGCCCCUGCUUCGAUCCCUCAAUCUUUCUCCGUAUCGUGCUUCCACGUUCUUAAUUAUACAUGGCUGAGUUUUGUGUGAUGCAUUGUGUUGAUGAACGAGUCGACACAGAACUUGCAGGGUGAAUCGAUGUGAGGUAAUGGAUACUCCAGUUGAAGAUUGUGAACCCCUGAUUGCUGCUUGAAGGUUGCAAGCUCAUGGAUCUUAGGUGGAAGAAUGGCGAAUUCAAAGUGGAAGCGUGGUGAUUGAAGAAAAUUGGAGAAAGUGAGGAAGAAAUGAAGAUGUUGAUUAGAAGUGAAUGAUCAGAAAAAUGCUCAGAGAAAGGCUAUGAACUUCUUAUAUAAGAGAAGUGUAACCGAAUCGGGCACUUAAAAGGGGGCAGGUUAGUUACUUUAGGGCAGGUGCCCAGAAUUUCUGUUAGAAUCUCUUUGUAUGAAAACGAAUCCAUUUUUUCUUAGUUGGUUAGUUAUUUCUUUCAUAGUUGGUUGAAGUUAUGGUUAAGUUAGUUGUAAACAGUUGGAAUGUUAGCUGUUAGAAAUUCUGUUAUAAUUCUAGUUCUGUUAGCUGUUAAUUGCUUAGGUUAGUUAGGAAUUCCAAUCUAAAUGAAAUUGGAGUUCAAAAAUGAAAUGAGUAAACAAAAAAGAACCUCUGUUACUGCUACGUAAAACCUCUAUAAUGGAAUUGAUUUUUUUUAAUAUUAAUUUUAAAGGAAAACUGAUUGGUCUUGAAUUUCAGUUUGUUUUUAAGAUGAAAUCUGCUAUUCAUUGUUAUGAAACGGCAUGGUUAUGUGUUUGUGUGGAUUUACAGGAUAUAGUGAUGUUGUCAGCAUUGCCUUUGAAGUAUCCAUGCCAGAUUUUACAAAUUACUCAUGCAUAGGUGGUUAGUUUAUUAUAGGAUUCAUGUCGAGUAUCCAUCUUCUUUAUGGAUUACUUGGCCAGGUUAGCAUAAACUACGGGGUGUGAAUGAUUCUUGAUUGGAUGACCGUUUGGUUUACGUGGCAAUUAAAUUAGCUUGAUCCUAUUCUGUUAACUUUCUGCAGGUUAUCAAUCGUCAAACCUCUUCUUGCUGUUGCUGUGUCCACCGUGUUGCCAUUAUCAUGCAUUUUUAUGUUGGCCAAAUGAUGAUUAGUGGGAUGCGAUAAUGCUUGCGUGGAUAUCAUACUCUAUGUCGCUCUAUUGUAUGUGAUGCAAUUGGUAAUGCUUAGAUUAUGCGGUUCAGUUGCCGACUAACACAAUGCUAUGACGUAAUGAAGGAUGCUUAUGAUAUGCGUGAUGUGAGAUGCUUAAGCUGCUGUAGAAUGGACACGUUACCGCAAGUGAAGUCAUUUGGCUCAUAAAGAAACAAAUGGAUUUAGUUAAUCAAGGUCAUGGAACACGGAUGGUUAGGAUUAGGAUAUCUAGGGAUGUAAAGUCCAUUUCUUGUGUUUUUCUCGUGGGAUCAUUAUUUGGAUGAACUUAAAUAGCUUUCAAUUCGAUUUUGUAUUGGAUUUUGAAUUUGAUUUUCUAUUGGAAUGAAACAAAUGACAAUGACUUGCAUUGGAUUGGAAUUUUGGGAAUUAAAUGUGUGGAAGCUGAAUGAUUUUAUGGUUUAAUGGGAGUUAAUGUGAUUUUAGAUUGUUAUUAUGAAUUUGAAUGGCUUCCAAAUUGAUUUUGAAUUGUCAGCUUGAAUUAAAAUGUAUUGAAUAGAAUUCAAUGAUUUGUUUGAAAACAGAAACAUACAUUGAAUUUUCACAUUGGUAUUGCUUUGAAUAUGGAAGGUUGUAUUGAAGAUUUGGAAUGGAAGUUAAUUAUGGAAAUGGAAUAGGAAUUUAUGGUUUGUAUGAAUUUGAACGGCCGGUGGGUUAGAAUGGUUAAUGACAGCAAUUAAGAUUGGAUAUGGUUAUAGGUUAUGGAUAUGAUGAUUAAGUGGAUAAAAUAGUUUCUAAAACUAAUCAAUUUAAAAAUCAAAAUUCAAUUAAAAUGCCAAAUCAAUUAAAAUCAAAUUGGAAAUCAAAUUACUUUACGAUUAGAAUUAAUUUGAUAUUAAAUCACUUUGAAAUAUCUAAAGUUCAUUAAUUUAAAAUUAGUAUCAAUUUGACAUUUAAAAUCAAUUUAGAGAAAUUGAAAUGAAUUAAUAUAAAGUUUGAAUCAUUCUGAAAUUGAAAUCGAUUUAAAAAUUGGUUAAAAAAUUAAAUUGAAGUUCCCUAAUAAAUUUGAAAUUAGGCUUAAUUUGAAAUUAAUCAAUUUGAAGUUAAAAGUCAAUUAAAGUCAAAUUGAAAAUAAAAAUUCAAUUAAACUUAACUUAAAAAAAACCCAAAAUCCAAUAAAAAUAAAUUAAUUUAAAAUUAAAAUAAAUUUUGAGGUUAAAAUCAAAGCACCAAGAUGGAUAUAACGAUGAAGUGAGUCGAACGAGCAUAAAUGAUGAUCGAUGUUGCCAAAUUUGAGAUAAUAUGGACUUGGGGGUGAAUGGUUGACUUUUGUCGACUAGUUAACCAGAAAGUCCACCAAUGACCUUAAUCAACCGUUUGUAUUAGAGUAGGGUUUCACUCAAUUACCAAUUUUGAAUCUAUGGGUUAACUAGUGCGAAUGUGUAUGAAUGAAGUACGAAUAUGCACAAAUGAAUUUCAUGUCGUAGGUCGAAUGAAAAGUGAAAAAGGAUGGCAAAUUUUGGGGUACGACAGCUGCCCCUAUUUAAUUAGCUUAGACCUGAAUAAUCGAAUUGCGAGAGCUUUUCGGAUAUUCAAGGUAUGGGCGGAUUAAAUAUCGAAGUAUCCAAAAAUUUGCCCAUUGAGGACGGUUGUAUGGGAUGCAGGGAUGUCAACUUGACUUUUACAGGUUCAUCCGCUGAUGACUUUUUUGAUGUACUAUGGAGAUAUGGUAGAAUGAGGGUAAUGAUAUGCAUGAUAUAUGUAUGUUUUAUCAUUUUUGUGAAACGUGAGGCCACUUAUGCUAAUCAGGGAGCCCAUAAGUUCUCAGAAUACCCUUGCAAUCAAAGGAUUUCAAAAAAUGAAUCAUCAGUUCAACAACUGGAAACAAAAUCAAACCUAGAGGUUUGAAAAAAAGGAAAGGUCAUCAACCGUACAGGUCAGAAAAAAGGUUCGUCAAUCCCAUAGAUUGAAAAAGGUUCAUCAACCACGAGGUUGGAAAAAGAUUCAUCAACCACGACAGUGGGAAACAAAGGUCAUCAACCCUAAAGGUCGGAAAAAAGGUCUAUUAUCACCCUAAUGGUGGAAAGAAGAUUCAACAACCAUGAAGGUUGGAAACAAAGAUCGUCAACCCUGAAGAUUGAAAAAGGUUAUCAAUCCUGAAGAUUGAAAAAAGGUUCUUCAACCCUGAAGGUUGGAAAAGAGGAUCAUCAACCCUAAAGGUUGGAAAAAGAUACCAAGCAAACUGGGCUUUAAAAGAUGCUAAGCAAGUUGGAUUUUGGAAGAAUCGUCAAACUAGCUGGUUAUAAAAGGUACCAGGCAAGUUUGGAACUAGAAGAUGUCAACAAAGUAUCGAGCUUUGGUUUCUAUGGCUUGCACACGCGGCCUCAUGAUAUGCUAGAUGAGUGAUAUGCAUGAGUGAAGCGAUGUGAUUGAUAUAUGAUGAUUUGUGCAAUGGUUAGGCCAGAUGUUCAUAUAGAGGGAGGUGGGAAUUUCGGGCUAGGAUAAGGUUAUCUAGACAUGAAUCUCCGACACCUACUUCGAGCUAAAAAUGUUGUCGCACCUAUGGAUUUGAUCUGAAACAUGGAAAGCUUGUACAUGUGUAGCCUGCUUCUGCCCCAAUGUACUGGAUGUAAGCACCAACGACCCUAGUUACAAACUGUAUUCCCUUGAUCAACCAUCUUGGGAAUGAUUGACUUCUCAUGUUCUUGAGGCGGCCUGCCCCAAUAUGAGCUUUGAAGUAAACUUUGCCCCUAUCCGGCUGAUUCAGAGAGAUUUGUAGAAUAUCGACAUGGUUGCCUUAGAUUGAUUGACUCUUGAAGAGAUCUGAGCUAUGGGAUAUCAGGAAUUUGAUCAACUUUCCCAUUGUAAGUUUCCUCGAUGCCAAAUGAUUAUUCGAAUGUAAAAUGCUCAUUUUGAAAAAUGAUAAUUGUAAUGUCAUGUUCAUGCAAGUUUUGAAAACUCAAGUGUGUUCACUAAGAUUAUGACAUCUAGUGAGUGAAUCACUGAUUAGAAUGUCAUAUCAGUAUCAAUACAGAUGACAAGCAAAUCUUUAGGAGUCAGCUUAACGUGAUCUUACCAUAGUAUGCUUUCGAAAUAGGCCAUGCUUCAAUUAGGUCUUUUGAGGGUUGUAACGUGGUCUGGUUCCCGGUUUCAAAAAGAAAGGAUAUAAGGCUCAAAACCUAACCUAACCCGCCCAUUCUCCGUGAUGUUCUCCAAUCCUAAGUUCAGUUAGCUUAGAACAAGCGUUCAUCUUCCAGAAAAGGAUUUUGAAUAUCAGCAAUACUGGUUAAGGGACCCUAUGAGAGUUUGGAGCGAUAACCACUCACAUUCUGUUUUGAUUUGCAGUCACAAAGAUCUGCUCUUGCUAAGGAUUUGGAUUGAUCCUCUGAUUCUCUUGUUACGUUUACCCUUAUUUUUGCCUGGGCUGGUCCUUUGGGUCUGCAGCCCACCGGGAUACCCUAACUUUUGCCUAAGUCAAUCUUGUUUUCAAGUUCUUUACUUAGCGAGCCUUUUAUUUGCUUUUGAUUUUUUCAUUUUGUUUCAUCUUUUCUUUUUAUACUUGAGCAAGUCCUGUGACACUGCUUUCUUGAUACGGUUUGUGACUAUCUCACUCAUUUUUGUUGGUAGGGGAUAACCAUAAUGGAUUUGUGAUUCCAUCCUCUUGAGAGGGAUAUGAUGUGAUUGAUCACUUGAUGAGAUAUUCUCCUUCUGAAAUUUGGAUGCAAGUCUAAACUGAACUGAAUACUACCCUGCCCCUGGUUUAACAUGAGGGUUUUAUGUGUUAAAGAAAUAAACUCCUACUUCAAGGCCCAAAGGGGUUGACUAGGGAUUAACUUUCUUAUAUCUCCAGUGUUUAGGGAUUGAACCAUGCCUUACAUCAUCAACACAAUCUUAUUCAAAAGCAUACAGAUAACGAUCUUGCGUAUUUUAAUUUGCAUCAUUCUCUUUUGAUUUUAUUCGACAAACAAUUUGAUACUGAUAAAUAAAAUAUGAGUGAACACAAAUGGAUUUAAGCAAAACACGCACGUUUAUUUCAUUAUUAUUAUCAUCUGAAAACCAGACAAGUUUUACAAACGAAUAACAAUCAACAAACAAAGGGGAAAUUACAAAUGAGGCAUGAUUGGAUCAAUAUAAUAUUCCUAGCCUUGAUACUCCUCUGAAGAAGCCACUAAGUCUGAGCAAUCCUCGCCACUAAUCGCAUUCACAGUCUAUCCACAAUGGUCUGGCAACGGGUUGGUUAUGACAUUGGGUCCUGUCUCCGAGAAUGACAAAACCUUCUGAUCAAUAAGCUUUUCUACUCUGGCCUUGAGGACUAAACAAUCCUCUGUAGAAUGUCCUACAUAUCCGGCACGGGACGCACAAGACACAUUGAUUCUGAUUCUGAUUUCUGAUCAUGCUGAGGACGCUUCUUAUCAAACCGUCUACGUUGACCUUGAUUCUGAUUUCUGAUGUUUUGCUGAUUCUGAGGAGUUGGAGCCUGUGGAGGUUGUUGAUACUGAGGUUGAUAUACAGGUUACUGAUAUUGAGCAGCGACAAUGUAUGGAUAAGGGUAGUAUGGCAUAUGAUCCAUAAGUGCCUUAACUUGAGGAUAUACAUUUGUUGUUACGGCAUUUGCCUCGGCCUCUUUCUUCUUAGCAAAACCGUGAGACUUCUUAGCCGCUGGCUGGCUGUCGAUACUAGCAAUCUUUCCUAUUUUUAGCCCAUUCUCGAUGCGUUCUCCAAUGGUUACCAUGUCGGCAAAGUUGGAUGAUGAGCUACCAACCAUCUUCUCAUAAUACAAACCAUGGAGUGUGCCCAUGAAAAUAUCAACCAAUUCGGCAUCUGUCAGUGCAGGUUUAACUCUGGAAGCCAUUUCACGCCAUCUCUGAGCGUAUUCUUUAAAUGUUUCAUUGCUCUUGCAGGCUUGAUUCCGCAGUUGUAGCCUGGUGGGAGCCAUGUCCAGAUUAUAUUUGUAUUGCUUGAGAAAGGCUUCAGACAAGUCCUUCCAAGAUCUGAUUUUACUGCGUUCCAGGCCCAUAUACCAGUCUAAGGAUGCCCCAGAUAAGCUGUCUUGGAAGCAAUGGAUAAUAAGAUCAUCAUUAUUAAUGUAAGAUGCCAUCUUCCUACAAUACAUGAUGACAUGGCUUCUUGGACAACUCAAACCCUUAUAUUUUGGUAGGUCUGGCGCUUUGAACUUAGGAGGAACCACCACAUUAGGAACUAGGCAUAAGUCCUUAGCAUCCAUACUAUAAGCAGAGAAACCUUCAAUGGCUCUGAUCCUUUCAUCCAGUAACUGAUAGUCUGAACCAACAACAUUCUGAUUGGUAGGUUGAGGAUUAACUUGAUGAUUGGGAAGUUGAACAUGCUGAGAAGUCGUCUGAGAAAUAACUGGAGUAGAAGCGAUCUGAGGAUACCCUUGAGGAUACACCAAACCAGGAUUCACCAUUUGACCAACAGUCUGACCAUACUGAUUCUGAUAUGGAGCGUAGGGUGCCCCAGGAUACACAAAUGGAUGUGCAACAACAGAGGAUGCCCCAAGAUGAGGAGGAGGUAUCUGAACACCUUGAUUCAAAUUGUGAACAGUCGGUUGAGUAGCUCGAGGAGGAAAACGGAAGUGGAGGGUUGGGCCUUUAUAUUCAUCUUCGUUGUUAUUAGGAGUCUCAACGAUCACUGGUGUAGAAGUCUAAAGAGCUUGUUCUGGGUUGGUCUCAUGGUUGUUAACAUUAGCCAUUUGAGGAGAAAGAGUGGUCAUGCCCCAAGGAUUGGCAACAGGAUUCCCAUUGGUAGGAUGAACAGUGAACGGUUGGUAUGACACAAAUGCAUUCCCAUUAGCAGCUUGGGGAGUGAAAUUCGGAGGCAACCCCCAGGGAUAGGUAAUGGCAUGCACACUAGGACCUGGCUGAUAGAUAGGUUGCCUCAUAAGUUGAACCACAGUGUCCACAAUAGCAUCGCCAGAAGUGGUGACGGCAAUAGCAUCAGUAACUACAGCAGAAGCAGGAUUGGCAGCAGAAGUGGAGGUAGUGGCCUUCUGAGCUUGAAGGUACUCCAAUAUGGUGUUCAUGUUACCUUGCAAGGUGUCCAUUCUGUCUUGGACUUGAGCCAAUGUUUCCCUAUAGGUAGCAUUAUCUUGUUCUAGAUCCUCCAUAAUUCUUGAUUUGUUAGCCCUUGUGAAGUAGUGGUGUCGAAGAGACGUCGUCUUUCAAGCUGGAGAAAGGACAAGGUGAGCUUUUUCUAGUUGGUAUGCAUGAGAUGCAAAUGAAUAAAUGCACAUGUUAGGGAUGCAAUGCAAAUAAUUAUGCAACACCCAUAAAUUCAAAGCAUCGAUGGUAUAAUAAUUCAGGGUCAAAGCUCUGGCGUAUAUACAACAAUGCUAUAAUGAUAUGCAAAAGAGUAUGUUAACAACAUAAAAUAAUCUGGAUAAUUUGUGUAUACUGCCCAAUGCAGGAUCAAAGGUCCGACGUCCAUGAGAAUAAGGUAUGUAGAGGCUAUGGUUUCCUGCAGAAAAAUCCCAUAUCCCCCUCACAGGUAGGUUAUAGUCUUCAAGGCAACCUAGAAGGUUCCUAGAGUCAACAACCCAUUUCGAGAUACCAUUGCCUUGGACGAAUGACUCGUCGGACAAUGAUGCUCCCAAAAGGAUCUACUCUAGGUGUGACGUCUCGUGUCAACCAUAAUCGCGGAAUAACUCCACAGAGGUCAAAGACGACUCUAGUCACGUUGCUAUCCUGCGUAUGUAGUAAAGCUCGGGUAUAGAUCUUCUCUCUCAUGUAUCAAUAACCCAACCCAACAAGGAGUAUAACAAAUGAUAUCCAUAAUAUAAAGCGAAUGAAUAUAAUGAAAAAGCGAGUAAGGCAUAAAAAUGAGCACCUAGAAACUAGCGAGAAAACAACCUAAACUAGGCUCGACUCCUUUUAGCGACUAGGAAGUACUCCAAGUAGCGAAGUGUCCCCAGCAGAGUCGCCAGCUGAAGCUAGCAGAAAUAUACCCGAACGUAUCGCACGCUCGAACAUACAACAGAGUCGCCAUCGAACUUUAUUUAUCCCCAAAGGAAAGGGAAAACAUCGAUAAAACCCAGGGAAAGAGAUAUACUGGGUAAGGAAGUCGGUUAUGCAAGGGGAAGGUAUUAGCACCCCAAACAUCCAUGGUACUCCAUGGGAACUGUUUUGAUUGUUCUCGCUUGAAUAGGUGUGAUAUCUAAAGAUUACUCGCAAAAGACUAAGGGGAAAGGAAGAGAAAUAGAUAGAGUGCUCGAUAAGGAUUGAGGCCCUCAUGCCUACAUAUCCUCAUAGUGCAAUAAGGAAUUCAGAGCUUCGUAGUUCAAGGAACUAGAGGCAGGAGGUGGAAGGAAUGUGAUAAGAGUAUGAUUUGAACCAAAGAAUAAUGUUGUUUGAACUCCAACAAGGGGUGAAAAUGUGAACCCAAGAGUAAAACUGGUGUGAACCAACAAGUGAGGGCGUAUAGCACUUGCAUCACUGUAUUGGAAUAAGCCAAAAGAAAGGGUUGCCUAAGUACGACUGCAAAGUAAGUAAGGAGAUGUUUGUCUAAGCUACAGGGUCUGGAAAGACAAACAAAUCGGCUCUUGGUUCACAAAAAGGGGUACAAGAUGGAGCACAAAGGUAUAGUGUAUUGACUCAAAGAAUAAGUAUAUCACAUGGAGUGAAUGAAGAUAGAGUAUGAAUGUAUCAUGAGCACAAAGGUAUAGUGUAUUGACUCAAAGAAUAAGUAUAUCACAUGGAGUGAAUGAAGAUAGAGUAUGAAUGUAUCAUGGGGAUGAAUGGAAGAAUGCCCUAGGGCAGGAGUGAUAAAUAAGUAUGCCCGCGGAGGGUUCGAACCCUCGUGCCUACGUAUUUCCAUCGUGCAAUGAGAAAAUCAGAGCAACCGUAGUUCAGCCUACUACGGCUGAAAAGAAAGAGAUUCGAUAGGAUUGCCCAGAGGCGAGGUAGAUUGCUUAACAAGCAAGGACAUGGUACUAACCGAUGAUGGUAAUCAACCACAAGGACAAAUGAGAUAUUUCCAGAGUUUGAACUCCAUAGGGUAAGAUAGAUGAGUUCCAUAGUCUGAACUAAGUACAAGCCCAGGAAUGGAUUCCCAGAGUCUGAACUCAGAGGGGGCAACGGAGAUAUAAUGUCAAGGUUUGAACUUGGAGUCAAUGUCAAAGGUUGCGUCUCAGGCUUGAAGUACCCGUUCUACCUAUUCGUACGGUAUCAGACUUCUAUAAGGCAAAGGAACUGAUUUGAAUGCCAGAGUCUGAACUCCACCAGGGCAAGAAAGUAUGAUUCCAAAGUGCGAAAUGUAUGUGCAAUGCAAGAGGUAACCAGAGUCUGAACUCCAUGGGCUGGAUAAAUGAAUGCCAAAGUCUGAGCUGUAAGGCAGGAUAGUAUGUCAAAGUCUGAAAUGUAUAGCCAAAAUCAAGAUAGCCAGAGUCUGAACUCAAUAGGGCGAGGAUGCCAAGAUCUGUAUCUUAUGGGCAAAGAAUAAAGCCAUUGUCUGAACUCCAUGGGCUAAAGGGGUUUGCCAAGGUCUGUACCUUGAGGGCAAGAAGCAAAGCCAAAAUCUGAACUCCACGGGCUAAAGGAAAUUGCCAAGGUCUGCACCUUGAGGGAAAAGGAUAAAACCAGAGUCUGAACUCCAUGGGAUAAAGGAAGUUGCCAAGGUCUGCACCUUGAGGGCAAAGGAUAAAGCCAGAGUCUGAACUCCAUGGGCUAAAGGAAGUUGCCAAGGUCUGCACCUUGAGGGCAAGCAACAAAGUAAGCCAUAGUCUGAACUGAUAGGCAACGUAUGAAGCUAUUGAUUGAGAAAUGGGUAUGUGACCCUCGCAUGAACUGAAUGAGGAUUGAAUAAUUGAUCGCUAUAUAGAAUAGAUUGAUAAAUGAGAUAUGGAUAUAUAAGGUAGAUUGAUAAAUAAGGUAGCUCGCGAAGAAUCUGAAUUCUCCUGCCUACGUAUCCUUAUAAUGCAAUAAGGAAAUCAGAGCUUUCGUAGUUCAGCCCACUAGGGCUGAAGAGAAAUUGAUUGGAGGCAAGAAGAAAUGGAUGCUUGAGAUUGAAUUGAUUAGAAUGGAAUAGAGAGUGAAGUGAUAAGAGACUUGACAUUCGAUUGAUAGGAAUCACACUAAAGUCUAUGAAUAAGGGUGAACGCUUUGAAUAUUUGAGGCAUACGCCCCAUACGCAAAGUCGCUAUAGACGAGGGUAGGAGAGACUCCCUCUCAUCAUUCCUCAUUACUUAAGACUUGAAGUGCAUGAUAUUUCUCUUGACUGACAAGUUGCUGGUGAAGAACCUUUGUUGUUGAUCCUUGUGUUGAUGUUGAACUUGUAUGAAUAAGACUUGGUAGUUUAAUCGAUUCGUAUUGUACUAAAGUCUAUGAACAAGGGUGAACGCUUUGAAUAUUUGGGGCAUACGCCUCAUACCCAAAGUCGCUCUAGACAAGGGUAGGAGAUACUCCCUCUCAUCAUUCCUUAUUACUUAAGGCUCGUUUCGUACAAUUUGAAUCAUAUUUACCAAGUGUUGACCUUUGAUUUAUCUUGUAUAAUCCGCUGCUUGGUGUGACUGAGGAUGCCUUGAUUGAAGAUCUUGACUUGAGGCUUCGAGCUCCACAGCUUAUAAGAAAAGUCUUGUUAAGUGACCAAGGGUCUUUUGGUCACUCAAUUUAGACUGUGGAAUUAUAAAAGUUCAAAGGAUUUAAUUAAUCAAAAUUUCUUUUGAUCAAUUUAAACGGGGGUUUUGUUUUAGUUUUGUGGGGAACUAUGUUAGGAUCUAAUUGAAGUUAGUAAUUGUUAGAAACUAUUCUAAGGAAUCAUGUCAAAAUAUUGAUUAAAAGGCCUAUGUUAAGUCCUACAAUUAUUAGGAAAUGAUUGAAUUAUAAUCCUAAGGGGAACAUGUACAAAGAAUCAAGAUUUUAGGCUCUAAGGGCAAAAUGGUCAUAUUCUAAAAUUUGACUAAUUAUGGAAAACAAAUCCUAAUCAAAACCAAAUUACCCAAGCAUAUCAGAACUAAUUAACAUUAGUCUAAUUAGAAUUCUAAAAACUUAAUCAGGUUCCACGAGCAUAAUUAACCACUAAAAUUAGUCAAUUCUAGCAAUAUGAUUACAAAAAUUAUAAUUCUAAAAUCUUAAUCAACUUCUAAUUAUCCCAAUUAAAUUGUAAUUCUAAAAAUCUAUCAUUCUAAUUAAACUAAUUACCCCUAAAUCCUAAUUAAUCUAAUUAAUUACAUAAAACUUCUAAUUUCUUAAUAAGACUAAUUGUUAAUUUGAUCUUUAUUAAAGGAUAACAAAAAAACAAGCUAACAGCCCAGACAAACCAGAAAAUGGGAUUGGGCCCAAAAACAAUCAGACACUGAAGGCCCAUGGAUGUUAGGACUGGUCUUGGGGGUGUACACAUUCGCAUGGAGUGGGGAGAGUAAGCUCGUUUGGACCUUAGGCCCAAACCGAGUCCAAGGCCAAUCCAUCAUUAAGAAAAACAAGCAGAGGUUACUGUACAGAAAAGCGCUUAAAUGGAUAAGCUGGAAAACAAGGGUGGACGAAAACGCUUAUGGAGACACAGAGUUCGGUCAUAAUCUUCAUCCAAUUUUCGCUUGUUCUGGCGUUCAUGGAUACGCUUCCAGCUCCUGUCUGUUUUGGUUGGUCGGCGUCAUCGCAUCAGCAUCGGAGUGACAUCACGGACAUCAUCGCGUUUUGGAUCAUUCAACACUGAGUUUUUGAUUGGUUUGAAUCACGUCUGGUUCGCGUUACAGCGUUGCUUGCACAUCUCCGAUCUCGCGCUUCAAUUGUAACCAGCGAGUUGCGAUUACCACCGGUGCGGCGUCGCGGAUGUCGUUGCGUUAUUGCGCUUCAGCAUCGAUCUUUGAUUCAGAUGCGUACAAACAAGAACAAAAAUUGAAUCGAAAGUAGCAUCGCGAGUGUGAUCGGAAUUUCAAUUUGAUUCAAAGUUAAAGAUCUUGAUUCAGAGUUUUCGAUUCUAAACAGCACGCAACUAUAGGAAGAAAAGGUUUAAAGACUUACCGGUGAAAGGGGGAAAUUCCUUCGGUCAAUAACAGAUUGUCGUCGCUGGCGAAAACGAGAGAAAUCCAGAACGGUGUCGAUUUCCAGGUAUCACCUUCCUUCUUCUGCCAUGGUUGGUCUUCGGAACGUCUUUUCUUCUUGCUCAAUUUCCUGGCUAGCGUGAGGAAUUCCUUUUGAUUUCCUGUAUUGACGGUAGACGAUCAUUCUGCAGUAAGUCUAAGCCGGUGGGCCCGGACUGCGUGAGUGUGCCUGAACGUCGGUGAAGAACGAUGAACUCCGGCUCUGCGGUGCUAUGGAUGACUUUUGUCGCAUGGGCUCCCCUGGGUAUGCCCCCUGCUUCCGAUCCCUCAAUCUCUUCUCCGUAUCGUGCUUUUUUGCCGUUUCAUUUUUCGUUUUCCUGUAACUGUUUUCCCGUUGUCUCCUUGCUAUUACUCUAUUAUACAUGGCUGAAUUUGUGUAAUGCCAUUGUGUUGAUGAACGAGUCGAGACACAGAACUUGCAGGGUGAAUCGAUGUGAGGUAACGGAUACUCCAGUGAAGAUUGUGAACCCCUGAUUGCUGCUUGAAGGGUGCAAGCUCAUGGAUUCUUAGGGAAGAAUGGCGAAUUCAAAUGGAAGCGUGGUGAUGAAGAAAAUUGGAGAAAGUGAGGAAGAGAAUGAAGAUGUUGAUUAGAAGUGAAUGAUCAGAAAAUGCUCAGAGGAAAGGCUAUGAACUUCUUAUAUAAGAGAAGUGUAAACCGAAUCGGGCACUUAAAAGGGGCAGGUUUAGUCUACUUCUAGGGCAGGUGCCCAGAAUUUCUGUUAGAAUCUCUUUGUAUGAAAACGAAUCCAUUUUUCUUAGUUGUUGUAGUAUUUCCUUUCAUAGUUGGUUGAAGUUAUGGUUUAAGUUAGUUGUAAACAGUGGAAUGUUAGCUGUUAGAAAUUCUGUUAUAUAGUUCUGUCUGAGCUGUUAAUUGCUUAGGUUAGUUCAGGAAUUCCAAUCUAAAUUGAAAUUGGAGUUUCAAAAAUGAAAUGAGUAAACAAAAAUAAACCUCAUGUUAUGUCAUUAAUCCUGUUACUGCUACGUUAAAACCUCUAUAAUGGAAUGUAUUUUUUUAAUAUUAAUUUUAAAGGAAAACUGAUUGUCUUGAAUUUCAGUUUGUUUUUAAGAUGAAAUAUGCUACUUCAUUGUUAUGAAAACGGCAUGGUUAUGUGUUUGUGUGGAUGUACAGGAUAUAGUGAUGUUGUCAGCAUUGCCUUUGGAAGUAUUUCUCCAUGCGAGUUUUANNNNNNNNNNNNNNNNNNNNNNNNNCCUUAAUAUUAUACAUGGCUGAAUUUUGUGUAAUGCCAUUGUGUUGAAUGAACGAGUCGACACAGAACUUGCAGGGUGAAUCGAUGUGAGGUAACGGAUACUCCAGUGAAGAUUGUGAACCCCUGAUUGCUCCGCUUGAAGGUUGCAAGCUCAUGGAUUCUUAGGGGAAGAAUGGCGAAUUCAAAGUGGUAAGCGUGGUGAUGAAGAAAAUUGGAGACAAAGUGAGGAAGAAUGAAGUAUGUUGAUUAGAAGUGAAUGAUCAGAAAAUGCUCAGAGAGAAAGGCUAUGAACUUCUUUUAAAGAGAAGUGUAAACCGAACGGGCACUUAAAAGGGGCAGGUUAGUUACUUUAGGGCAGGUGCCCAGAAUUUCUGUUAGAAUCUCUUUGUAUGAAAACGAAUCCAUUUUUCUUAGUUGUUUUAGUUAUUUCUUUCAUAGUUGGUUGAAGUUAUGGUUAAGUUAGUUGUAAACUCGUGGAAUGUUAGCUUGUUAGAAAUUCUGUUAUAAUUUCUGAGUUCUGUAGUGUUAAUUGCUUAGGUUAGUUCAGGAAUUCCAAUCUGAAAUUGAAAUUGGAGUUUCAAAAAUGAAAUGAGUAAAACAAAAAUAACCUCUAUGUUAUGUCAUUAAUCCUGUUACUGCUACGUAAAACCUCUAUAAUGGAAUGAUAUUUUUUAAUAUUAAUUUUAAAGGAAAACUGAUUGUCUUGAAUUUCAGUUUGUUUUUAGAUGAAAUAUGCUAUUUCAUUUGUUAUGAAAACGGCAUCGUUAUGUGUUUGUGUGGAUGUACAGGAUAUAGUGAUGUUGUCAGCAUUGCCUUUGGAAGUAUUCUCAUUGCCAGAUUUGGUACACAUUUACUCAGUUGCUCAUAAGCGGUGGUUAGUUUAUUUAGGGAUUCAUGUCGCAGUAUCAUCUUUUCUUACUGGAUCACCUUGGCCAGGUUAGCCAUAAACUACGGGUCGGUGUGAAUGAUCUCUUGAUUGCGUGCCAUGAUCGUUUGUGUACGUGUGCGAUUAUAAUUAGCUUUGAUCCUCAUCUGGUUUAUACUUUCUGCAGGUUAUCAAUCGCCGAACCUCUUCUUGCCUCUGUUGCUGUGUCG